AUAGCGUAUAUUAAAGUUGUUGCAGUUAAAAAGCUCGUAGUUGGAUUUCUGUUAAUAAUUUAUAUAAAAUAUUUUGAUGAAUAUUUAUAUAAUAUUAACAUAAUUCAUAUUACUAUUUUUUUUUUUAGUAUAUGAAAUUUUACUUUGAGAAAAUUAGAGUGCUUAAAGCAGGCAUAUGCCUUGAAUACUCCAGCAUGGAAUAAUAUUAAAGAUUUUUAUCUUUUUUAUUGGUUCUAAGAUAAGAAUAAUGAUUAAUAGGGACAGUUGGGGGCAUUUGUAUUUAACAGUCAGAGGUGAAAUUCUUAGAUUUGUUAAAGACAAACUAAUGCGAAAGCAUUUGCCAAGGAUGUUUUCAUUAAUCAAGAACGAAAGUUAGGGGAUCGAAGACGAUCAGAUACCGUCGUAGUCUUAACCAUAAACUAU
rnacentral:rRNA from 1 species